AACUGCCAUAACGGCCAUAACAGAAGCGCUCAUGUCACGGCCCUGUCAGAUUCCAGUGGAUCUAAGAAUUCUGCU
rnacentral:ribozyme from 1 species